CGACUUCUACAUCAAAGGUUGGAUCUUUAGUAGUUUGUUGGUGGGUGUGCCUACUUAUUAAUUUGAUUUGAUAAGUCAACCUGAGGAACUGCAGAUUGGGUGUGAAUGAAGUUGUUAAUAUCAUUUCGUUCGUGUGUACUUGUGUACUAAUGAUAGCUGCUGCGGUUGUCUGUGAGAGCUGCUGCGUUGUAUAAGGCCGACGUGCACCAAUGUAAACUUUAGGUGAAGCUUACAACACGGCGAGGGAUAGCCUUGAUUUCUGCACGAGUAAUGCACCUGUAAUGUUUCAUGUUGUGUUCCUGGACUGCCAACAUUACAGAAUGAUAAGCAUUAUGAAUCAGAUUUUUCUCCGCAUGACAAUUAGUAUGGUUGUUGCUUGACAAAUGAUUUAAAGGCAUAAACUGAUUAGAGAACAUGUCAUGUGUUCUAAUUUCUGAAUCAUAUGGUUCACAUCAAUAUUUUGAAGCUGAACUAGAUUGAUUUUUAUGUUUUCCACUAACUGCACCUGCACCUGCACAUGCUAAAUUUGUAGAAUGUUACCUUCCAAUAAGAGGAAUCAGAUAAAAAGAAGUAUAUGUAACAAAAUUAAUUUUCGUAACAUGUACGACUUCCAAAUUUAUAUAUUCGAGCUCAUUGUCAGUUCAAAUACCUCUGUUUCGAUGUUAUUGGUGAUUCCAGUUGAAUUGAAUGUUGAGAAUUGCUUUGCAGCCUGAUGUACAACACUAACAUUUUUCGUAAAGAAGAAUAAAUUUAAUCGGAGAUGCUUCUAUUUAUUCUCUAAUGAUGUAACCAUAUAACUUGUAUGCUUUCUCUUGUCAACAAGCAAGGUACUUCUUUCAGCAACUACUUUCGGAGGUCUGCUACUGCCAUUUCAUGGAAAUCUGUCACCAUGAUCUUAAACAUGAUGAGAGUCGAACAUCCCAGUGAAAAUUUGCAACUUUGGUUACUCAAAGGUGCUAAUACUUGUGUUAUGUAUCAUGGAUUUCUAGAAUUGAUCUUUCCCUUUUAUGCUCUUCAAUUGAUAUACCGUAUUCAGCUAUCUAACUCUUGCUUUCCAUACACUUCUUUAGCAGAACAUCAUCAUAUAUUUGACUGCUUAAAGAGACGACUUUGAAUGGAAAAUGAGUAAAGACACUGACUAUUAUCGCAGCCAAUAGAUUUAUUUGUUGUGCUCUUCCGAACUGGAAUACCCUCAAUGCUAAUAAUUUAUUAAUUUUAUUUAGAUGACACCUAAACCCCUAAGUCAUGUUUCUUGCAGUGUAUUUUUUUACACUUCAUUAAAAUUAAUUAUAUAGGUCUACAAUAGUUGCUUCUUUAAAUUAAAGUAGUCUGCUUAUGAGAGAUAUAAAACAAUCCAGUUCUCUGACCAUGAAUAUUGUGGGAAAUUUCAAAAUAUUUGAUGGAAAAUUCUACACACUUGAAAAGGAAAGUUGGGUACUUUCGAAAAGGAAGAUUCUCUGGCAUGCAUUUUCUAAGUUGUAAUGCUCUGCUUUCACUUGCACAAUAACACUGCUCCUAGAUGUACCUUGCCUUGACAUGCACAAUAACAUUGCCUUGAUGUACUAUUCGGAAAGAAUAUGCAAAAUAACAUUUUCUCGGAGAAUAAUUUUAAUUGCCUUCUUAACAUCAAUAUUUUAGGGGCAUGGUAUGCCUCACUCCAGGAACAAUGUACCAUUGCGACUGCUUCUAAUUGAGUUUUAUAUUUAAUCAUUUGCCCUCAGAGCGCAUUAAACACCCAUGUAUCUUUCUUGAACUGAUGGGUAUCACCGGAUUUGGACAAAUACAUUUAUGAUCUGGUAGUUUGACUAUCGUUCUUUGGUAAUUUACUUAUUGUUACAUGUAUAUACCAGUUGUAAAAUGCACCUAAUUGUAGUGUUGGCACUCUCCGCGCGUGUUUGGUCACGCUUGGACCAAUAUUGUGAGCAUCCCAACAUGCUGUGGCUCUGCAUGUCAAGGGCGGUGCGUUGUUGGACAGGGUACAGGUUCUCUCGAGUGACGAAAGGAUGAAGGAGAGUGUAAAAGUGUUGGUACAGGUGAUGGCGCAUCACUGAUGUGGUUGAGUACAGUUUUUAGCCAGUUAAGAGGAGGAACAAGAACAGUUGGGUGCAGCUGAAGUAUUAAUGAAGAGGACCUAUUCAUUCAUUAUUUUCUUUAUUUUGUGAUUGUUCAA